AGAAUCAACGCUGGCGGCGUGCCUAACACAUGCAAGUCGAACGCGAAGAUCCCGCAAGGGAUUGGUAGCGUGGCAAACGGGUGAGUAACGCGUGGGUGACCUACCUUCGAGUGGGGGAUAACCUUCCGAAAGGAGGGCUAAUACCGCAUGGACAUCCCGUGUUUGGAUACACGGAGAUCAAAGCCGGGGAUCGCAAGACCUGGCGCUUGAAGAGGGGCCCGCGUCCGAUUAGCUAGUUGGCGAGGUAACGGCUCACCAAGGCUCCGAUCGGUA
rnacentral:rRNA from 1 species